rnacentral:rRNA from 1 species
CAGAGGGUGCAAGCGUUGCUCGGAAUUACUGGGCGUAAAGCGCGUGUAGGUGGCGAUGUAAGUCGGGUGUGAAAUCCCUCAGCUUAACUGAGGAAGUGCACUCGAUACUGUGUCGCUUGAGUGUUGGAGGGGAUGGCGGAAUUCCCGGUGUAGAGGUGAAAUUCGUAGAUAUCGGGAGGAACACCUGUGGCGAAGGCGGCCAUCUGGACAACUACUGACACUGAGACGCGAAAGCGUGGGUAGCAAACAGGAUUAGAUACCCUGGUAGUCCACGCUGUAAACGAUGAGUGCUAGACGUCAUGGGUAUUGACCCCUGUGGUGUCGAAGUUAACACGUUAAGCACUCCGCCUGGGGAGUACGGUCGCAAGAUUA